GCGCCAUUUGCGGAGGACGCCGUAUCCUCCUUUUGUCAGCAAUUCGUCGUUGCUGCUGAGUUCUGACGAAGCAUCGCCGAAGAAAUUUCGUUACUUUCCAACCACCUGGCGACUUCCGGUGGCAUCUGCGGUCGGACAUGAGAUUUUACCUGAGUUACACCCGCCUCCACGUUACCGUUCUGCUUGACGCCUCGUUCCAUAAGGGAACCGAUCACAGCCUCAGCGCUACAAUCCAAAAGCCUUUGUCUGCACAUCGCGAUGGCCCUGACGAAUCCGUCGCUGGGAGUGAUGAACCGAUGUUCCAUGAAUACGGACUUCUCAUCCCAAUAUAUUAUCUGCAAGGAAACAUGCCACGAAAACAUCGAAUGGUUAAAUAGGCAAAGUUACUUGUAACAACCUUAUGGGCGCAAUUAACUCUUCUCCUUUAUAAUGGAAAAGUGUAACCGGUUUUGAUUUGAUAUUCCACUUGCACCAUGAUAAAAGUGAUAGCGAGAAUACAUUUUGGAUACAAUGCGUCAUAUGAUCAUCGGAGUGCAUACAAAACUAUAGUGGCGAACACUUGGACAGCUUCGACUCUCUAAAAUAGUACCAGCAACGAUUUGCACACUAAGUGUCAACAAGUUCGUUUCCUUCUCGGUCUUAUCGGUUUUCCUAGAAGUUAUCGAGAACAAAUGUUGAUAAUCGACCGGAUACCGAGAUCUCUGUGUCGAAAAAUCGUAAAAAUUUUCUAUAGUUUCUCAAGUCGAUCAGACAGAGAAUAACGAACGUGACUCUGUAAUACGAUUUUACGUGAUCAAACUCGCAUACCUUAGAAGUUAUUUUGAAGAUGGACAGAGGUUUCAGAAAGCGGCGAUAACGAAUGGUCGACGCUCCUUGUACAACACCCGAUCCUUGUGAACAGAUCUCGCGAUAGAGGCUUGUCCUUUCGUAAAAAUCCGCCCUGGCGAAGUCGAUCUCGCGAAGAUAUCUCGCAUUGUUCAUAUGAUAAAGUAAUGUGUCCACAUCCGUUGUCGUGCAAAUACCUGCGAAAAGUAAACUAGUACAACUAGAAAAGUAAAUUAAUACAACCAUGAGAGUAAAUAGAAUGAGAUAAACGAUGAUUAUUCUUUUAUUAUGUAUUUUUCAAAGAACAAAAGGUUAAAGUUGAAGUUAAAUAGGAAUUUUCAAAGGUUCAUCUUAUGAAUUGUUUUUGACACGCAAUUGCGAAAUGUACGUUGCGAUUUUUCAUGACGGUCAAGAGAAUUAAAGAUGCAUGAUUUCAACCGAAUAAUGACUAACCGCAAUCGCGUAUCGUGCCUCCGAUUAAAAGAAUACUUGAGAAAAGUUUUCUGAUUUAACUAAUACGAUUAAAAACAAUUAAUUAGAGAUUUAAGAAGGUAAGAUGGAAGAUAUGGAACAGGGAAUGAUGAAAAGGUUGCUUGAGUCGAGUCGUUGCAAGGACAGAUAAAUAAAAGAUCAGUAUUUGCUAGAAUAUAAUAAGCAUAUUAAGUAUCCCGUGUGUUUAAUAUUCUUUGCUUGUUCCGCGUGUCAUGUAAGUCCUGACAAAAGUGUAUGUUCUUUCGUAGGUAAUUUCUGGAAUUCAGACCACCGUGUAUAGGAUGAGAACGCUACUGAAAGAAAAGACGCAUACUGAUAAAACACGUUGCAAAAUUUACGUCGUUUACAUUUCGAUCUGUUGGUCCAGCUUUGUAGAAUUUCGCAGCACAGUACUGCACAAUCAAUACUCGUACGGAUUUGCGACACGAGCAACCGACCGGCCAACUGAUCGCGCAUGGGUUAAGCAGCCAACGUACCGUAAACGGUGGUCUCAUCGAGGAUAUGGACCUUCUUCUUGCAGAAACGUGCAAGGAACACGGUCAAGCACAUACGCAAGAAAUAGUGAACUUCUAUUAGGCCAUAGAGCAGCACGAUAGCUCCAAAUACACCAGCCAACACCCAGCAGGUUAUCAUCCUGAUUAAGUUCGCGAUUCGCACGUCCUCAAAUUCGAACAGGAGUAUGAUCCCCGCGUGGACAGGCUUUGGAAUUCCUCCACCGUCGGGAAGCCACACUCCACUUUAUCGAUUCGUCGUCGAUUCUGACUGCGUUUCCUGGCUCGCUUCUCGCCGAUGAAAAGCCAAGUUGCUCGAUUAGCAUGUCAAAGGAUCGUAGGUGGAUCGACGCACCAUGACGAUCAACCUUAGUUCCAAAUACAUCGGUACAUGCCGGACGACCAUUGAACACAUCAAGAGAUAAUGCAGCCCGUAUCCGGCGUUCUUUUAUAUACGAAGCACCUCGGACCUGAAAUGCCAGAAGCAAUACCAUUUAAAUAUUCAGACAAAAUGUAUCGAGUGUCACGUUUCCAUGGAGUGCGUUUCUCAUUGUAAUCGUGCACAUGGAAUAUUCCACUCGAGUCGUGCGAUGCGACGUUUUUAAUGCUAGGAAGCAAAUAUUCAAUAAGCAAGAUAGUGAUUUGGUUAUCUUCUUCUUGACAACGAUCACUCUGCGGAAGAACUCGGCAGGCGAAGCACUUUGGAAACUAACAAAAUAAUAAAAUGUCCGAAAUGUACACUCACUAAUUAACAGUGUAAAUAUUGAGAAUACGCGUUUGGUAUGAUCACGCGAUGCUUUCCUGCCAAGUGGCAGGGGAUCGUUGACGAAUAAGCGGCACAUCAAAAAUAGGCAUCCGAUGAACCGCGCGCGUCUUGCAACGUUGCUGAUCGUUGUACGCCGAUGAAUAAACGGAACGGUGACGAAUCGCAACCGUGCAACAACGACACCAUGUAGUAACAUUCACUGAUGUAACGUUUAAACGUAGAAUUUCUGGCAGUACGAAUAUACCGUGGAGACAAUUCAAAAUUCCCAGCGAAAGCUACUUUCGAUACUUUCCCCCUCAAGAGGUUGUGCAAUUGUCACGCGAAGCACGUUUUCAUUGGCCGCGUUCUUCCAAAAUAUUGUCCCGAAACGUCGGUCUUCUCUGUUGAGGUUCGCAAUGCGUCAUUGCGGUAUUGCUUCUUCCGAAAUCGAAGGUGUUUUCCCAAUUGAUGACAGAUAGUUCUUCUAUAUCACAAGAUUCUUAUUGUUCAGAUCGGUGUUUAAGCUUCCGACGUUUAAGCGCUCACUAGCUUUCGUAUCGAUGCUCGCUUCGACCUACCUAGCGGCAGUCUGUCAGGUGGAAUCGCCGAGGACGCCCGAUGACUGUCCUGUGCCUGACUAUUCACGGCAACACGAAUCUACACAUGCUUGUCUACUUAUACACGCACGCACACAAGAAACACACGUACACAAGUACAGAGCUAAGGAGUAUGCGUUCGAGUCGACGACAUCUCACAAACUGCUGAUCAACGCGUUCCCGGGUUCGAUGUCGUCGUCGGCGUCACAGGCGCCGGAACGUCCCUUUCCAGAAGUCGCAUCUGCGCCGAAGACUUCCAACCAUGAUACCGGUUCCUAGUGGGAGGCGACACUUCGUUGCGCGUUGACGUCAAAAUCCUUGCCGCUUUUCUUAAUGGCAAACCAAUUUACAGGCGUGUGUUAUGCCAGGAUGACGCCAAUCUUGCUAUUUUGAACGCCUCUGCUUUUACAGGGAUUUUAAAGUAUAAAUUUGAAAAUUAUAACAUAAACCAGUUUCUUUGAAACGGUUCUUCUUCACGAUUAAUUCAAAUGUUGUACAUCGAAAUCUCCAGUUUUGAAAGCGAAGAUAAAUUAUAAGAUUCUAUAUAGUGGAUUUUAUAGUGGAAAAAUAAAAUAUCCUUGAACUUUGAGUCUUACAACGAUGAUUAAAGAGACAAGCGAGGUUUUCUGUUAUAUUCAUUGCUAAAUCAUAUUGAUUAUAUCUACGUAAAAAAAGAACGAAGCGUAUCGACGCAAUUUUCCCAAUAUCUAUAUUAAUAAAGUAUAAUAAUUAUAGGACACUAAGGGACAAAUAUAAUGUUAAAUCAUCAGAAUCUAUCUAGAAUAAUGAAUCUUCCUCUUUUUUCUCGUUUCUAUGAAUUAAAAACUCACCUAAAAUUUGUUUAUUAAUAUGGCACAAAAAUGUAUACAAUAUAAGUAUGUAUUUGCGUCAUCGUCGAAUGUAUUUAUGAGUAUAACAUACUUUAUGACGUAUUAAAAUCACGAAUAAUUCAAA